rnacentral:misc_RNA from 1 species
UGAGCUUUGCGGACUUCAGCGGCAACCUGAGCUUCGAACUCGCCGACAACGGCGGCCCGGAUGUGAUCCGUCUUGCGGCCGAGGACGUGAGCAUGUCAUUCAACAUCUCCGGCAGCGAUCCGCUGGUGAGUUUCUUCAACGGCUCGGGCGGCUUCGUGAUCACCAGCGCGGGCGUCGCGGGCACCGCGAGCCUCCAAUUCCAGACCGGUUUCAUCAACCUCAGCGGCACGAUCCUCCUCGAGAUCAAUACGACCAACGCCACGGCCAACUACUCAUGGACCAGUCCCGGCCUCACGGCGAUCAGCUUCAAUCUGACGCGCACCAAUUACCUCAGCGUUUGCGUCAAUGGCAGCCUGGCCGUGGGCACGAUCAGCAUUCCGGUGAAUUUCACCAUCGAGGAAUCCGGCGGCAAUCUCGAGUUCAAAACCAAGGGCGGAGCGCCGCAGGUGAUUUUCACGCUGGCGCCGGACGGCACGUUCACACCCGGACCCUACUGGACGAGCCUUGCGCUGGGCACGGACUUCGAUUUCGCCAACCCGAGCCCCGAAGAGAUCAUCGCGUUCCUCGAACGGCUCGCGAACUGGUUCGAUCUCCUCAGCGGCAGCAGCAUAUUCGACGUCGAGAUUCCGUUCACGGACGGCACGACGCUCGGUGAGGCCGUCGAUUUUGUGACCGCCUUUGUGGACAUUUUCUACGCCGAGCUGGUGAGCCCGGAGGUUUUCGCGGCCGAACCGGAUCCGCCGAUUCCCGGAGCCGGGGGCUACAAUGGCUCGUUCACGGUUCAGUUUGGCAGCGUGGCGACGACCUACAACGUUACCUUCAGCGGCACUUACACCGGCGAUAAUGACGAUAUUAUUACCGCCAUCAAUGCCGGUCUAACCACCGCGGGCAUCGGGACAAGACUCGUGGCGCGACUCAAUCGCGAUGACAUGAUUUCACUGGCGCUGACACCGGAUGAAAUCAAAGCCGGCACGCUCAACUUCGCCGUCUCCGCCGGCGCCAAUGCCUUCCUCGCCAUCGGGUUCCCGGCCACCAACAACAGCCAGACGAUCUCCCGUUACAGCCU